rnacentral:rRNA from 1 species
AUUGAACGCUGGCGGUAUGCUUAACACAUGCAAGUCGAACGGUAACAGCAAGAGCUUGCUCUUGGCUGACGAGUGGCGGACGGGUGAGUAACGCGUAGGAAUCUGCCUAGUAGUGGGGGACAACUCGGAGAAAUCCGAGCUAAUACCGCAUACGCCCUACGGGGGAAAGUGGGGGACCUUCGGGCCUCACGCUAUUAGAUGAGCCUGCGUUGGAUUAGCUAGUUGGUGGGGUAAUGGCUCACCAAGGCGACGAUCCAUAGCUGGUCUUAGAGGACGAUCAGCCACACUGGGACUGAGACACGGCCCAG